GAACACAGAAAGGGACACAGCGAUGAGGAAAGCCAGGAGUCAGGAUACCAGAAUAUAGAGAAGUCAAUAAACAAAGCCAAAGUCAAAAACCAGGUAGAAAACUAUAAACAGGAACGCGCUCUCAGACAACCACAAGGGAAACCACGACAGGGCACUGAGCAGGCUGAGAACUGGGCCUAAAUACCCCUCCUUUAGUUCUGAUAGGCUGUAACCGGCCUUUGACCCCAAAGUCAGUUACCAGGUUUCAUUUGCAUAAUUGCUGCUCAGCAUUAACCCUUCUGGGGAUUAGGUUGCUGCUCGGCACAACUUUUCCUGUGUG
rnacentral:lncRNA from 1 species